rnacentral:rRNA from 1 species
AGAGUUUGAUCCUGGCUCAGAUUGAACGCUGGCGGCAUGCCUUACACAUGCAAGUCGAACGGCAGCACGGAGCUUGCUCUGGUGGCGAGUGGCGAACGGGUGAGUAAUAUAUCGGAACGUACCCUGGAGUGGGGGAUAACGUAGCGAAAGUUACGCUAAUACCGCAUACGAUCUAAGGAUGAAAGUGGGGGAUCGCAAGACCUCAUGCUCGUGGAGCGGCCGAUAUCUGAUUAGCUAGUUGGUAGGGUAAAAGCCUACCAAGGCAUCGAUCAGUAGCUGGUCUGAGAGGACGACCAGCCACACUGGAACUGAGACACGGUCCAGACUCCUACGGGAGGCAGCAGUGGGGAAUUUUGGACAAUGGGCGCAAGCCUGAUCCAGCAAUGCCGCGUGAGUGAAGAAGGCCUUCGGGUUGUAAAGCUCUUUUGUCAGGGAAGAAACGGUGGGAGCUAAUAUCUCCUGCUAAUGACGGUACCUGAAGAAUAAGCACCGGCUAACUACGUGCCAGCAGCCGCGGUAAUACGUAGGGUGCAAGCGUUAAUCGGAAUUA